rnacentral:rRNA from 1 species
AGAGAGAGACAUGCGCGCAUAUCAAUAAGCGGAGGAAAAGAAACUAACUAGGAUUCCCUCAGUAACGGCGAGUGAAGCGGGAAGAGCUCAAAUUUGAAAUCUUAAAGGGUUUCCCUUGACGAAUUGUAGUUUAAAGAAGUGUUUUCUGUUGGAGGUUUUGGUAAAAGUUCUUUGGAAUAGGACAUCAUAGAGGGUGAGAAUCCCGUAUUUGACCUUUACUUUCAACUUUGUGAUACACUUUCAAAGAGUCGGAUUGUUUGGGAAUGCAGUCCAAAAUGGGUGGUAAAUUUCAUCUAAAGCUAAAUAUUGGCGAGGGACCGAUAGCGAACAAGUACCGUGAGGGAAAGAUGAAAAGAACUUUGAAAAGAGAGUUAAACAGUACGUGAAAUUGUCAAAAGGGAAGCGUUUGACACCAGUGUUGUUUUCUCGAAAAUCAAUUAAAAAAGGCAGGAUUUUGUGUUGUAUUGACUUUAUCAGCUUUCUGCACUCUUUUCUUGUCUUUUCUAAUGCACUUUUCGUUUAACAAGUCAACAUCAAUUUCUUUUGUUGUAAAAGGGUCAUUGGAAGGUGGCUUUCUUUUCGGAGAAAGUGUUUAUAGCCUUUGGCCUCUGCAAUCGGAGAGAUUGAGGUCUGCAGCGUAGAUCCUUCGGGGUUAGAUACAUUUGUGCUAAGUUAUAGCCUUUCAUAGACAACUUGUUGACUAUGAUCAGUCAUGUAGCUUACUCGCUUAUGCUAUUUUACCUACGCUUAGGAUGUUGAUGUGAUACUGCGAGC